AAAGAAAAAGAAAAAGUAUAGUGAGUCAAAUGAAGUAUAUAUAUGUUAGCAACUUACUGAUGUUACAAUACUUUUUUUUUUUUUUUUAAAAUAUAUAAAAAAAAGAUACGCAAAAACAGUUAUUUUUUUUUUAUAUUUCGUGCUUUAUUUGAUUUUGUUUAUUUGUCUAUCUAUCUAUCUAUCUAUCUGUGUGUGUGUGUUUUUUUUUUUUUUUUUUGCUUGUCAACACUAAAACAAUAAAUUAGUAGAAAGAUAUUAAGUAGAUAAUAAAGUGACAACACGAUAAUAAUGUACAAACGUGGCAAAAAUUCCUAAACGUUAUAUUUACACAGAGAAUGGACGCAUAUUAUGAUAAUAUUAUAGAAUCAGAAGAGAGGCAUAGAAGUAGAAGCAGACACCAAUCAUCUGACAAUGAUCCAAAUACUUAUACAUAUGAAAAUAUAUUAGAUUAUACAAAACUAUAUGAUUUAUUUAAAAAAAAAAAUCAAGUUACAUGUCAUAACAAAUUGCCUAUUCAUCCAUACCGUUAUCCGAUAACUACACAUAAUGUCGAUUUUGAAGAUUUAAAAAAAGAGUUGAUAAAAGAAGAAAAACGCAACAAUAAGCAUAAUGAUAUUGUAAAUGUAUUUAUCGAUGGAUCGAAAUUUGAAAAAGAGCAAAGCAAAAAAAAAGAGAACAAGAAAAAGAAAAAAAAAGAAGAAGCAAAUAGUUACAAGGGUGAUAUAAAAAUUUAUAUUCCUAAUGUAUUACAAAAUGGGGAAAUUGGGGAAAAUGGAAAAACAAAAAAAAGCUUAAGACAAAGAAUAUAUGAUGGAGAAGUUAUGUUUUAUUCAGAUUAUGUUGAACAAGAAGCAGCAAAAGACUAUGAACAGUUAUUUAAAAAACCAUAUAAAAUAAAAAGAAAAGAUGAGGGUGGUAAAUAUUAUUUUUAUGGAAAAAAAUUAUUAAUGAAUAAAGAUGAAGAUAUAUAUAGGAGAUAUUAUAAUUUAGAUGAUGAAUAUUUCAUAAAAAAAUUACAAUUAAAAAAAGAAAUGGAUAAAAAACAAAAAAUAGAUAAUGCAAAUAAUAAAAUAAAAACAAAAGAACAUAUAAAAUCACAAAAUGAAUAUGAACAAUUAAGUUAUAAUGAAAAAAAAUAUAUACUAGACGUAAUAAAUAGACAUGAAUGUACAGAUUUAGAUGUAUAUAAUUUUUAUAAAAAAAAUAAAAAUAUAAUAAAAAGUAAUUUAUCACAAACAAAAAGGGAAGAGUUAUUAUUUGGUAAAAUACCUGAUAUUAUUUUACCAGCAAAAAAUAAAAAAAUAAAAAGUUUAUCUCAAUCUUAUGUCCAGUUAUAUCAUCUAAAUACUUAUGCUAAUUUUAUUGAUAGUAUGUUUAAAUGUCCAAGUAUAUACACAGCUAUUGAUGCUGAAUUAGGUAAGUAUUGGAAAACAAAUGAUAAAGAAUUAAACAAAUAUAUAAAAACCGAAAAAGUAACAAAACCUAACAAAAAUGAUAUUAUAUAUUCAGUAACAAAAGAACAAUUAGAAAAAUCGAGCAAUAAACUCAAAAAUCUAUUUAAAGAUGAAGAAAAAAAAAAUGAAGAUAACAAAAAUUUAAAUAUCACUUUCAAAGUGCAUUCAAAAAAAAACGAACCAGAAAAUAAAGUUAUAUGUAAGGGCAGAUAUGUCAUAUGAUAUGCUUGCUUGGCUCGUAGUGAUAUCCAUUUGUGUAUUUUUGUUGUUUUUUUUUUUUUUUCUCGCGCACGUAUAAAACAAAAACUGUAUAUUAUUAUAAGUUUUUUUUUUUUAUUUUUUGCAUGUUUCGCUAUUAACAUUUAGUCAGUUUUUUUUUUUAUUAUUUAAUAUAUAUUUUUAAGUUUUUAUGUGUUAUUUCAUGUACCUGUGUUAUUGAUGUAUCUGUGUUAUUCAUGUAUCUGUGUUAUUCAUGUAUCUGUGUUAUUCA
ensembl:lncRNA